rnacentral:rRNA from 1 species
AUUGAACGCUGGCGGCAUGCCUUACACAUGCAAGUCGAACGGUAACGGGCCUUCGGGUGCCGACGAGUGGCGAACGGGUGAGUAAUGUAUCGGAACGUACCUUUCAGUGGGGGAUAACGUAGCGAAAGUUACGCUAAUACCGCAUAUUCUGUGAGCAGGAAAGCAGGGGAUCGCAAGACCUUGCGCUGAUUGAGCGGCCGAUAUCAGAUUAGCUAGUUGGUGAGGUAAAGGCUCACCAAGGCGACGAUCUGUAGCGGGUCUGAGAGGAUGAUCCGCCACACUGGAACUGAGACACGGUCCAGACUCCUACGGGAGGCAGCAGUGGGGAAUUUUGGACAAUGGGGGCAACCCUGAUCCAGCCAUGCCGCGUGAGUGAAGGAGGCCUUCGGGUUGUAAAGUUCUUUCGGCCGGGAAGAAAUCGUAUCAGCUAAUACCUGGUGCGGAUGACGGUACCGGCAUAAGAAGCACCGGCUAACUACGUGCCAGCCGCCGCAGUAAAAC